GUAAACCUGUGGAACUCGAACGAGCGAACGGGGAGAUUCAUCGCUCUUCCGCGUACCGGUCCGCGGCGGCGCGGUGCCGGCGGACGUUUCGCGCGAUUCGCGUCGCGCGACGUCCGUCGACGCGCCGUCGUACGUCAGAUCGGCGGAGUGCGUGCACUUCUCCCUCAGUAUAACACCGCGACCCGUUGCGCGUCGAUCGAACACGUCGUGCGGUCGUCCGUCGUCCGUCCGUCAAAAAGGCGGGCGACGGAGCCGCGACGUUGCGGCCGACGUCACACUACGAUCGCGUUGUUUUUUCAACGCGCCGGCGACGGUAACGAACGAGGUUCGCGUCCGCUCCCCCCGCCGCGCGUGUAAAAGCGCGCGGGGGGGGGAGCGUCCGUGGCGCCGCGGCGGCCCUCCCCGCGUAGACCUCGGCGCGAAAGCGUCGCGGGUUCUGCGCGUGCGAGCGUCAGAGUGUCGCUCCGUUUAAAAGCGGCGCCGUCUCGGACGGGACGCGUCCCGGUCAGCGGUGGUUUUGUUUCGGGCA
rnacentral:rRNA from 1 species